AAUUUUGUUUUUAGAUUAAGGUACCGUUUGGUUCGGGUAUAAACAAGAACUAGCUAUUAUAGGGAUAGGUACAAGUAUGGGGAUAAGAAAAAUAGCGUUUGGAUGAAAAUUGGGUUGUUCCCGAGGAUAAGAAAAAUAUUAGAAAGUUUUAUAUAAAAAAUAGAGGUGUUGGUGGGGAUAACCGAGAACUACUAUUCUCGGGUAAAAAAUUAGCGUUUGGGUAUAAAGGGGGGGAUAAGGGCCUAUCCCUAUCCCUAUUCCCAAACCAAACGGUGCCUAAAAGUCUCUUGACCGCUUCUAUUAUUUUUAAAGAUUAAUUUCACCCAGAUCCCUAUAAAUACAGUGAUUGACAAAUAUAUUCUUAUAAAGUUCAACUUUCAUAUAUUGUCCCAAUAAAAGUUCUAAUAUUUUUAUAUAUAUCUUUCUGUUUUGUUACCGUUAGAGAACUGUUUAUAUUUUUUAUUUCACCAUCACAAAUAUAUCCCUCCAAAAUUCAUAACAGUAUAAUAUAAGAGAGAUAAAAAUAUCAAAAACUAACCAGAAUUAAAUAUUUAACUUAUAGUUAACUAAAUUUUUUUAUUAGAUUCUAACGAUAGAGACAUAUUUGAAAACAUCAGGAUUUUUGCAGGAACUUAUAUGAAAUUAG
rnacentral:lncRNA from 1 species